AUUUAAAUGCCAAUGCCAAUCUACUUGGGGGGGUGCCUGUCCCCCUCAAAUAUUUUUUUGGGGGGGCCUUAAGAAGAGUUAGCUCCUAAGCCAGGGUAUGUGUCAUUUCUGGAUCUAUGUCUUUGCUUGCUUGGCUAUGUGUAGCACCUGCUGUGCCUUUGAACGGCAUUUUGCCCAUGUAUUGAAGGAAGGUGAGGACAGGUGACCUCACCUAGGCCCGAAGUCACCCCCCACCAAAGCAGGCUCAAAGCUUCUCAAAGCUUUUCAAAAUCAUUUUCUCAGCAGCUAAGCAUCAGAAACAUUCCGCUCUGCUGUAACAAAGAUAGAGAACAGUCCAUUGUUUCUCAGGCCUUUCUCAUGUCUUCUGGCCUUGCUAAAGAACCACAUUGCAACUUACUUUCUGUCCGGGAACCAUGCCAGCACAAGAAUGAAACAACUGGAACACACUGAAACCCCCUCACCCCCUUUCCUGCCAAGAGUCCACAAUAGUUCCAAGACAGCUUUCUGUACAUGCUCAGGGGAACACAUCAUGGGGCAGGACUCCUGAGGGAGGAGAAAGGAGGAGGGAACUGGGAAGGGGUAUAUAUGUUUGUGCACAUGAUUGUGAACUCGUGCAUGCUUUUUGUGACUUAUCACACUUGCUCCUUCUACCAGUUCAUGGAUGGUAGAAAUAAAAGCCUUUUCUCCGAAACUAUUCCUUGAGUGUCUGUUGACUCCCACUUCCCUUUCCCAGGCACAAUAUUUUUCCCACCCGAGGGCAAAGCCUCAUAAGGCUACAGUAUCACACUCAUCUGAGCAUUAAAGAUUUUGGUAGACACUGCAGCCUGAGUUCAAAUUCUUCAUUGAGUGGGAGCCAGGAAACUCUCCUCCACAGGGUGCUUUUCUGGAGGGUCUCCUGAUCCUCCCAUAGCCAGUUUUUGGGGGGCUGGGGGGGGAUCUAUGCUCUUCCCUUUCCCUAUAAUAAUUUCUACCCAGUUGUCAUUGAAAGUGGCAGCAUGUAUUAGAUUAAUUCCCAUAUAUAGAUUUAAAAAUAAUAAUAAUAUUAAUUCCUUUUGCCUUCUUAAUCUUCUGAAUCAAUAUCCAAAAAUGUUCACAGCAGUCCUGGUCAAUCGUUUGAGUAGUAUUGCUCCAACAUCUGCCCACUUCCAGUCUUGUGGUUUUUGAAGAACUUCCGAAAAGUGUAAGUAACCACUGACAUAAUAUCAGAGAGAAAUAACAAGCCUUAUUUUUUUGGUGAGCUGGAAGCAGUUUGAAAGAGGAUCACUUCUUAUUGUGUACACUAUCAUAAGAAUAUACCAUCCAAGAUUUUUCUGAUGAAAAGAGGGACAUCCUAUUCAAUAAUAAUAAGAAGACUAAUUUUAUUAUUUAUAUGUAUACACCAUGUUACCUCUUAGCUGUUUAGCUACAAUGGCUGGAGAUUCUAUUUAACUGUACAGUGGUACCUCGGGUUACAUACGCUUCAGGUUACAUAUGCUUCAGGUUACAGCCUCCGCUAACCCAGAAAUAUUACCUCAGGUUNNNNNNNNNNNNNNNNNNNNNNNNNNNNNNNNNNNNNNNNNNNNNNNNNNNNNNNNNNNNNNNNNNNNNNNNNNNNNNNNNNNNNNNNNNNNNNNNNNNNAAGAACUUUACUUCAGAAUGAGAACAGAAAUCGUGCUCCGGCGGCGUGGCAGCUGCAGGAGGCCCCAUUAGCUAAAGUGGUGCUUCAGGUUAAGAACAGUUUCAGGUUAAGAACGGACCUCCGGAACGAAUUAAGUACUUAACCCGAGGUACCACUGCAGUGGCAAAUAGCUUGUAAUUUAUCCGUUCUCCGUUGACUUAGUUACCACCUCCUCCUGGGUCAGUGAAUCAAAUCAUGCAUUAUGUGAAAUAUUCCCAGUGGAGAACUGCAGGAUCACAUUAACAAAACUGCUUGUGGCUGGUUGUUAAAAGCAAUGUAAACCAUGGGUUGGCAUUACAUCUGAACCAACUUCAAGAAAGCCAGGGGGAAGAGCGAAGGAAUCCCCAUCAACUGAGUUAAAAGAUACUGACAAUAUUUGCAGAGAGGUUAGAUGGCAUUUGUACCACACUUUCCAAUGCAUUAUCCCGGUGCUUUUUUUCUGGGGGGACGCAGGGGUAUUCAUACCUCUUAACCUUUUGUGAAUCAUUGUACUUUUGUUAAUUUGUUGUUUAGUCGUUUAGUCGUGUCCGACUCUUCGUGACCCCAUGGACCAGAGCACGCCAGGCACUCCUGUCUUCCACUGCCUCCUGCAGUUUGGUCAGACUCAUGUUUGUGGCUUUGAGAACACUGUCCAACCAUCUCGUCCUCAGUAAAUUUGUUAAUUUACUGUAUUUAUUUUUCCUGAUUUGAACUAUAAAAUGGUGAUUUUCUUGAGUCAAAAUGAGAGUACCCCUAAACAUUUUUAAAGAAAAAAAGCACUGCAUUAUACCAUCCCUUCACUUAUCGCCGAAAAUCCAAUCUUUUGGAGAAGAAGGUUGUUGCGCAAGACCUACCAAUCGACUACAAUUGUGCAGCUAGAAUUUUCCAAUAUUUUGGGGUGGGAUUCUAUCUGGAAGCACCCUUAAAGUCUCUCAGAUUCUACAGUAGGUUUAAUGGUCACUCCUUCUCCACAGCGAACUUUGGGAACUGUAGCUCUGGUGAAAGGAGUAGGAGUCCCCUAAGAGCUCUUUUGGCAAGUUACAGUUCCCAGAAAUCUUUUGGGGCAAGCCCUCACUGUUUAAUAGUCAUAUAAAUUUUAUUAUUUACACCACACACAUCUGGUAUCAUAGUGUUUUAAAUGCAUGGUGCAGAUGAGGCCUGCGGUUGUGGGGGCCAGAUAGCAGAAUGCACCUGAUGAUCCCAUUGCUUGAAUAUGGUAGUUAUCAUGCCUUGUUUGUUGAUAGCACAGAUAAUCCUCCUUUGUGGAAGUAUGGAGCUGUUAUGAGGAUUAAUGUUUUUAACUACUUCCCCUCUCUUUUACCAGCAUAGACAAGGAGGCCUAUGAGGCACCAGCAUAUGAGGAGGUGGUGACUACCGGCUACUUAUUGGGACCCACCACCUGGACCAUCACAUCCAGUCCAGGAACAAUCCCAGUGGAACCCCCUCUGUGCAGCGUGGUCACUGAGCCUCCUGCCCACGGAGAGACUGUGGUUGAGGCGUUCAGUGUUUCGGUGGCACCAGGCACACGGCUGCCUCAGAGGCAGAUCUACAGUCCAGGUUCCGCCUCAGGUUGCUCAUACUGCCCAAACUGCAGUGAUUUGUGUCGGGUACCCAUGAAGUCAAAGGUGUUGAAGAGCGGGCGGAACGCCUGGAACCCCUCACACCUCCUCCGGCUUAUGAGAAUGUGACAGUAGAGGAGCUCCUUGAAGAAGAAUUUCAGCCCUCCAGGCUAUGAGAACGGUGCACUGUGGACACUUUUUCUUCAGUAGCCAUUGUGUUGCAAUGAAUGUGAAACAUGGCCUGUGUGCAAGA
rnacentral:lncRNA from 1 species